rnacentral:rRNA from 1 species
CCUACGGGUGGCAGCAGUGGGGAAUAUUGCACAAUGGGGGAAACCUUGAUGCACCGCCGCCGCGUGAGUGAGAAAGUAUUUCGGUAUGUACAGCUCUAUCAGCAGGGAAGAAAAUGACGUUCCCUGAUUAAGAAGCCCCGGCUACCUACGUGCCAGCAGCCGCGGUAAUACGUAGGGGGCAAGCGUUAUCCGGCUUUACUGGGUGUAAAGGGAGCGUAGCCGGCAGGACAAGUCUGGAGUGAAAUGCCGGGGCUUAACCCCGGAACUGCUUUGGAAACUGUGCAGCUAGAGUGCAGGAGAGGUAAGUGGAAUUCCUAGUGUAGCGGUGAAAUGCGUAGAGAUUAGGAGGAACACCAGUGGCGAAGGCGGCUUACUGGACUGUAACUGACGUUGAGGCUCGAAAGCGUGGGGAGCAAACAGGAUUAGAUACCCGGGUAGUC